UAAAAACAUAGUUUCUUUUAUUCACAGGUAUAUAAUGUAAAUUUUAUUCGUUUUCGCCGCAUUUUUUACAAAUAGGUUUCUGGCUUGUACAUUUUCCACAUACAUAUUUUUUUCACUUUAGACAUAUUCUGUUAGUCUUAUUGUUUUUACAAUAUCUUAUUUGACAUGUUUUCCGUUUACAUGAACCUGUAAUUGUAUUUGUGACGGGUGUUGGUUAAUCUUCUUUGCUGAGCUGUAGCUUUUUUUGAUAUUCGCUGGCAAGUUCUUCUGCUAGUUGAAAUAAAAAAUCUUGCCUCGAAAUUUUUUCUCCCGUGGUUUCUUUAUAUAAAACCCAUGCAUUUAUCCCAGCCAAAUCUAAAAUACUGAAAAAUACCUGUAAAGGCCAUCUCCGACUUUUAGAUUUUACUGUGUAAUUCCUAGCCAUUUGAUCGGUCACAUCUACACCAAACUUGGUGCUAUUGUAGAACCUAAUUUUUUCUGGUAUACGGGCAUCCUCUUCAAUAUGUACGGAAUUAUGCAUUUUGGUAAGAAUCGGUACCGUUUUAUAUGGUUUAGCUUUGUAAGUUGUUAAAAUACAAUUAUUUGAUCCAUAUAAUUUUGUUGAAUAACAUGUAAUGUUGUCACUUUUCAGUUUCGCCAAUUUUGGUAGCUCCCUUCUAUUUCCUCUAAUCGUAAUUUUCUUCCCUAACAGUUUUGUCGCUAGAAACAUGCUUGUGAAAAAAUUAUCACUGGUUAUAUUUCCACAUUCUCUAUAUGGUCCUAUUAAUUUCAGAGAGACAAUCUGUCUGCUAUUUACAUUAGAUGCUAACUAGAACUUGAUACCAAAUUUGUCUGGUUUAUUAGGCAUGUACUGGGUAAUUCUAAAUCUACAUCUACAUCUAGUAAGGAAUCUGAAAUUAAGUAAAAAACAAGAAAUAAAAUGAUUUCAUUUUAAAAUAGUUAAAUUUAUUCAAUAAAAAAUUUGGGUAUGAUAUAUUUUAAAACAAAAAUUCAAUGCACAAUCCUACUUUACAAUCUGGACAGUACCUAAUCUCUUUUCUCUUCUAUUGGAGACGGUGUUGCUGAUAGACGUUCGGGUUUUUCUUCAACUUUUCCAUAUUUUUUUGAUAAUUUUUUGAACAAUAUCUAAUCGAGAUUUUUGACCUGCCUGUUUUGAAUAUACUAUAACAAAAUAAUUCCAAAUUGUCUGAUCAAAAAGGUGUUGAAACAUUUUAUAAUAAUAUUUCUUUCCGCGCUUUUUGAUAAUAGGAUAAUUUGUUAGAUGUUGAUCAAGUUUGACAACACUGCCCAUAGAAUUGUUGUAAUCAUUGAUAAAUUUUGGAAUGUUUUUAGAAUCUUGCCUUCUUUCAUUCUAACUUCAUCAUCAACUUCUAUCAUUUCUGUAUUGUGAAUUGUCGAUAACAAGCCAACGUCCUUUUUAUCUUUCCAUUUCAUUACACAGACUUUUCCUCUCUGGUAUGCCAUUAUUUCUCUUUUUAUCAACAAACGUUUUCUUUUGCAGAUCUUUCGGCACAUCUUUUCUGUUCAAUUUCAUAGUACCAAAUAUAUCGGUUUUGUAUAUGUCCGCAAGUGUCGGGGAAGUAUAAAAAUUGUCUUUGGUCCUAAUUUGUGUUCGCAUUCCCUGCUCUUUAUAAUUAUUGUCAAUUAACCCGAUUUCCACCCAUCCGGGAAUCCAACUCAAUCUACCCUUAUAGAACAUAAGACUCGUCUAUUGUUACAUCUAUUUCGAGUGUAAUCGCAGAAGAACAUUUUUUAUUUAGAUGUUGAAGAACAGGUCAUAAUUUAUUUAGUUUCGGAUGUGGGUGCGUUUUUGCAUUAUAUCGCAAAUUGUCUGUAAAAGGUUACAACUCUUCAAUAAAUUAAACCGCCUACCGGACAUAACUUUUGCGAAAAAUGGUGUUUCAAUCAAAUCCUUGUUGUAAGAAGGUGAAAUCAAAAUAGCGUAAAAUUGAUUCCUCAGCAUCAUCGUCAAAUUGGAAAUUUACACCAGCUGUGUCGCUAAAAGGAAACCUUGUUGAUCAAGGUGGUGGAUUUCCUACAUUUAUGGGAAGAAAUUCUGUCAGUUCAAUGAAAUUUUCGAUCUCUGAAUCAGAAUUAUAGGACCAUGGCACUGAAAAAUCACUUUCACGCUUAUCAAAAUUUCUUCAUCACUCUCUAACAUUAUUGAGUAAACAAAAGCUAGGAUAAAAACAGUUAUAAUAAGAAGUUUUACCCUAAAAUGAGUAUUACCUAUUUUACUUUUAUCUCAAAUGUAGUCGUAAGUCAUCUGUAAUAACGUAACGUGCCAUAAAAACUACUUCGUAUAAUGAAAUUUAUGUGAAAAUUAUACACUUAAACGCGAAAACAAAGGAGUCAUUUUUUGCACAUAUAUUAUAGGAAUAGAUUUCACGCUAGUAUAAGCGCAGAAAAUUUAUCGUUACUACGUGAAGUUGCACAAAAAAUUUACAUCAAAACCAAAAAAAUUUAAAACCAAAGAUAAAUUCUUUUUUAUUAUUGUAUAUUUCAAAAAUACAAGACUAAAUAUCGCUACGUGAAUCUAUAUCAGUUCUGAAAUUAACCGUACCGUUUUGAAUAACAAUAUGAAACAUUUCCAAAAACAAACGAUUAUGGUAAUUGUCUUCUUUAUCUGAGAUUUUUGUAUCAGCAAAAUUAACGAUGUGACCAGUGUCCAAACUAUGGUGUGCCAACGCACAACCUUUUUUGUAAAUUUUUAUAUCACUCUUAUGUUGGCUUAAACGUUUUUUUAAUCACUGACGUGUUUGAGGUUUUGAAAGCGGCAGAAAAUAUAUAAGAAAUUCGUUUUAAGAUAUGUGACUCCUUCUGGUUACUUUUUUUUUUGGAAGAAAAUGUAUGGAAGUGAUUUAUAACUUUAAAGGAUUACUUUUGCGUGAGACUGUACAUACACAUGUUGGGAUAGAACAACGCCGAUUCAUGUUCACGUAAACCAUGUGUUAACUGUAUCAUACUUAAAAUAUUAAAUUAUCUUUGUAAUUAAAUACUGCUUUUAACAAAUAUAUACAAAAUUAAAACAAAUUGUAUUUAAAAAUGCAAAAUAAUGUAAAUCAUGCCAUCUAUUAAUGGGAAACCAAACUAUGCUAGCCACCAGAUAUCGUUUCAGUGACGCAUGAACAAUUUCGUUGACCUUGCAUUCUGCACGUUCUCGCAUUAAUGCAUUAAGCGUACGUGGUGCUCUUGGUGCUUACUCAUUACAUUCCACCCAUUCCACGAAGAGCUGGCUUCGAAGAAGCUUCUGUUGUGGUGUUAAGAAUUUGUUUUCAAAAAUAACGUAGAAAUGUCCAAAUAUAGCUUAUGGAAUGUCUCUUGUAACAUUUACGUCAAAACUUCCAUCAAUUGUCAUCGAAUAAAUAUAAGAAAGAGGCAGAUUUUCAAUUCUGCAUUUCGAAGGUGAUUAAGAACAAGACGUCUGCUUGGAUGAGUGGCAGUGAUUUCUCCAACAAGAUGGCGCGACACCAUACUAUGCAGUUCCUGUUCGAGCUUAUUUAAACCAAUUAUUUCCCAAUUGAUGGAUUGUGGGGGAAGAGGGCCAAUCGAGUGGCCUGCAAGAUCGCCAGAUUUGACUCCACUGGAUUUCUUCCUUUAGGGAUAUCUGAAGAGUAAAGUUUACACUACUAGACCAAAUACUUUGCAUGAACAAAAAAUCAGAACCAGAGAAGUUCAGCGAAUAAUUCUUGAUAUAUUAGGAAAUUGUCAGGAAGAAUUUAAGAAUCGUUUAGGAGCUGCCUAAGGUGUGACCAACCCUCAAAGUACCGAUUUGUCUUAGUUGUGCAGUAGUUAACUUUGCACUGAAGUUAAAAACACCUUCAAGAAAGUUAUAUGGAUUAACAAUAUAAUGACACCAACUAUGGUUUUCCUGUAGUCUAAGUUUGGAAGACAAUUCCUCAGUUUAACAGCUUGUGUGCGAAUCACAUGGGGCUAUUACGUUGAUAGUAAAUAUUUUGUCUGAUAUUCAAUGGAACUUCCUUCAGUAGGUCUAUCAAAUUAAUUACGAAAAAUGAAAACUGAUGCUGAACGUAACUUUCGACUGGGUGGGUUGGGUUGUCAUCAAGUUACUAUCAGGCCAACAUACAUUUUUGUAUUACUUCCACAAUCCACUGCUGAGAUAUCUCAAUGAUUUGUUGAUAUCUCAUAUUUGUGAUGUGUUGUUAGGAACCAGUCUUUUAUGGCUGUGCUAUGGAUAGGUACACAAGCGUUCUACCAAGAAUAAUUGCCAGAGAAUGAAUAAUUCUUUGUGGAAUGCAUGUGUAUGUGCAAUCUGUACAUUUUGGGAUCUGCUUUUUUUGAUAAUUUGUUUUAUUAAAGUUCCCAAAAUGUAACUCUUCCUUAUAACUCUGCUUAUUUUUCUGUGUACUGGAUAUUAUGUAAUUGUUUACAUAAUUAUUUUGAAUCAUUCAAACUUCUAUACAAGCGUUCUACCAAGAAUAAUUGCCAGAUAAUUUGAAUAAUUCUUUGUGGAAUGCAUGUGUAUGUGCAACCUGUACCUACAUUUUGGGAUCUCCUUUUUGGUAAUUUGUUUUACUAAAGUUCCCAAAAUGUAUCUCUUCCUUAUAACUCUGCUUAUUUUUCUGUGUACUGGAUAUUAUAUAACUGUUUGCAUAAUUAUUUUGAAUCAUUCGAACUUCUGUAUAAGUAUCAUUUUUAAAAUUAUAACCCAGAACCCAAAUAUUAAUAAUAAAAGUUUCACUCAAUGUUUUAAAUAUGAAGAACAUCAUGUUGCUAUAUUCAUCAUAGUUGAGUGAUGAUGCUCAAUGUCCAUAAUGAUGAAGAUGAGAUCUUUUCGAGAUAUAUUUCAGAAUAUCACCUAUAUUAAUUAAAGUUAUGAGAAAUAUCCAUGUUGCAAGUAAAAAUGAAAUUUGAAUAUGAAAACAAAACGCAAUAUAUGAACUUCGCACUUGCAAAAAUUAUUUAAUUUAAAUCGGGACCGGUUUCGAAGUUUAUAACUUCAUCUUCAGCCGAAAACUAUACAAAAAUGAAAACUAUUAUAAGUAAUCUACUUUAUAAAAUACAGAAAAUACAAAAAUAUAUAAAAAACAAAAAAUACUCACUGUCAGAAAGUGAAGCCAACAGGUAUAAGGUAAGCUGGGGCAACUGGGUCAUGAUUUUACAACAUGCCAAUGUCGUUCAUAAAUUUGCACUCGUUUGAUUCGAAGAAGAAUUGUUAAAAUGAACUUCUGAAUACGUACGGAUCUUAAAGAAGUAUUUCUUUAAGAUAUCCGCAUGUUUAACAUUGAUAAUUCAAGAUGCCAACGAGAAAAAUAAUUAUUUUAUGUUUUUGGCGCUCCUGUGCCCAGUUACCCCCAUAGUGUGGGACGACUGGACCCCACCUGUCUAUUCCAUAAGCAAGAUAAUACAAUUCAAUCUGAGGUAGCUGGGCCUGUUUUAGGACGUGUCUAUUUUCGGUAUCAUAUCAAAAAUUUCAGAUUUUGUUUCAUGUUAGGUUAUUUAGGGGUGUUGCAAAUAGAUAAACAUCAUUUGUUAACUAAGAAAUGUAACAAAAAGUGUCAUAAUAAUGCUUUAUUAACUCAUAAACUUCAAAACAAAAACUUAAGAUACAUAAAUUACUUUGAAACUAAACAUAAGUAUUGCUUUUUCUGAGUUUUUAACAGAACGAUUGGCUUCCCCUUAAAACAAAUCAAUAAGUUGUGAAUUCAGCUUUGUUGAAUUUUUUUCCGCGGAUUCUACCGUUGCCAUUUGCACAAUGCCUUGUCCCAUGCCGUUUUCAAGCCUUUAAAAAUGGCAACAUCGAGGGGUUGUAGAACAUGUGUUGUGUGUGGUGGCAACUUCAUGAUAAUGAUGUCAUUUGCCCGUGCUAGUCGGAUCAACUUUACGGAAAUGUGGGUCACGUGCCCAUCAUAAAUUAAAAUUACAGGUCUUUCUCUACCAAUAUUUCUAAGGAAAACAUCUCUAAACCAGUUGUAGAAUAAGGUUGUCUCCAUCCACCCACGCUCAGUUACUGAAACAGCAGUUUGUGUGGCCAAUUCUUCGUUUAUCCAAUUUUCCAUGACAAACUUCCCCUUAAAAACGCAAAGCAAUGGAAGGGUUCUUCCAUCAGCGGAACAACAAAGCAACACAGAAGUAUUUUCGCGCCCAGAAGAACUAGUUUUGCGCUAACAUCGUGCACCAAUGGCCCCAACAAUUUUGCUUUUAAAAGGGUCAUGGCAAAAUGACGUUUCAUCACAAUUGAAUAUCUGUCCUGGCUUUCCUUCAAGUUUUAAGUCUUUCAUGACGUGUUCCAACUUGUCAAAAAAGUCGUAGAUGACCCAAGGAUUAACUUGGUCACACCGAACGUAUUGGAUACUUUGGGGUUUUUUGAUAGACAAAUGUUGCCUUUUCUUGAAAGAGAUGAACCAGUCGGUUCCAGGUCGUUGGUCUUUGAAUCUUGUUGGCAAAUUAUUCUGUCUAAUGUACAUUUGUACUAAAUCCCGUACAUUUUCUCGCGACAGACCAAAUCCAUGCUUUUCCAUUACCUUGAUGCAAUUGGCAAUUUCUUAAAAGUGUAAGUAAUUACUUCCAAAAUUCGGGGUAACUGGAACCCAUUGCCACAAAACAUACGGGGUUACUGGGCCACUCACGCUUGAAUUAUAAUACGGAAAAAAAAUUGUCUGAAACACAUACUAAUCACUCGUUUUAAACGUAUUUCAUUAUUACAUCUAUAAGUUAAUUUAUCAAUACUUACACUGUUCAAAUCAGGACCACACAAAUGCACUACUGCAGCACGUUGUCAGACCAAAAUAUAUGCAUAAAAUUCAGAACGCACUCACGUGCAUGCCGCAUGGAAAAACGAGGUUAUAUUCGUUGUACCGGCAAGUCGACAGGUUGACACAACGUUGCCAACUGUUUGAAUAUUCCGUGGCAGCAGGUUAGACAAUGACAGACUCAUGGCCCACCUACCCCCUGGGCCCAGUUGCCCCAGCUUACUUAUUUGAAAAUUUGAAAUGUUGAGAAGUUUGAAAUGGUGAAAAUUUUUGUGUCGUUAAAUUUAUAUAAAAAACCAAAAUGGAGCAGAUAUAAAACAUGAUGCGUAUAAUAAAAUUACAAUGAAAUCUAAAAAAUAAUAAAAUAAAUAAGAUUACAAUUAAAGCAACUAUCAUAAAGAACAACUUACGAAACAAAAAUGAUGGUUAAAUAUAAAAAUUUUUCUUGAAAAACAAAACAUGUAUUAAUUAAAUACUAUUAUUUCACAGUCAGGUUCUUUGUUGAAAACUAAGAGUACUUUUGUAUACAGUGGUUCCAAGACAAACUGGGACAUUGGAGCUGAAAAUGGUCAAAUUAAAACAGUUCAAAAAAAGAGGAAAUUGAACCACUAAUAACAUUCAAGCUUGUACUAGUGUGCCAUAUAUGACACGUUAGUGUAACUUUAAAUAAGAUAAUUAUAGAAUAAAAAAUGUAAUUAUGAACAAAAAACAAGUUAUUUAGAAGAAGAAAUUUCGCGUUCGAUGUUGGCCUGCAGUUCUUCUGACUGCUGGCAUGUUGGCAUAGACCAGCGAUUUAAUGUAACCUCACGAAGGGUGCUUUAAGGGUGCAAAAUCGAUCCACUAAGAUCAACGCACAUUGUUGAGCUAUAGCUUGAAAUUGAACUAAUCCUAAUCUACUUUUUAAGUAAUUAGGGUUCCAAGAUGAUUUUUCUAUAGCAGUCGCAAAUGAUAACAAAAGUGUUAUAUUGCUCACGGCAGCCUGUUCGAUCAUCCAAUCGAACGCCUUCGAAUAUCCUUCUCAUCUACCCUUGAGUAAAUUACUUAAAAUCCUCUAAAUAUAUCUUGGGAGUUAAUUCUGGACCUAUUGUAUAGUGUAAUAUAGCGCUGUAAUACAUCGUAACUCACGUAUUUAUCCAAAUUGAUAUUAGAAAUCAUUUUGCUUACUUGGUUUUUUCUUUUUUGGAUUUUACCAUAAAUGUUACUAAUUACUAAAUAAUUACUAAAUACCAUAAAUGCAUUCCAACUACUAAAUACCAUAUUCUCACUCACUGGGACCGCGAGCUUCUCUUGCCAGGAGAUUUCCUUUUUCGCUUCUGACUCAUUGUAAUUCUUGACGACGUUCGGGUGUGUCAUCUGCAUGAUCUUCCGGAAUGCUCACCUCAUAAACGAUAUACCUAUUUCUAUAUACUCUGAGCCUGGAUUCAUUAGAGCAAAUAACUUGGUGGUUUCUGUGCAUUCCUCAGUUGCUUCUUGAUUAAUCUGCAUUAUACAAUUACCUAUGGACUCCAAUUCCACGAUGCAUAGAUGACAGUUUGUGCAUGGAUCACCUUGAUACAUCCUGUUGAUAGAACCAGCUGCAUUUCUUAUAGAAACAAAUCUGCCAACAUAAGCCAAAUCUGCAUAUUUUGAUACAGACACCUGUGGGUCUUUAAUAGUACAAUAUCGAUCCACCAAGAGCCAUGCACAUUGUUCCGCAAGACUGAGAAAUUGUGUGUUCCUUAAGCGUUGUCUGAUAUAUGGUAGGGGGUUCCAUGCUGAUCUCUCAAUCGCUGACCCAAAAGCAAGCAGCAUAAUGAUGUUACUUCCAGCAGCUUGUUCUAUCAUCUAGUCAAAGGCAUCCAAAUUUGCCUCAUCUGCCCAAGUAUAUAUGUAUAAUUGAUAGUACCCGGAAGAUAUCUUCUGGGGAUCACUCCUUUCUGUUGUACAAAUGCUCAAACAUUUUAAUGAUUUCUGGAUUCACAUCUUUCCAGAUCUGAAUUGGGUAAUAAUUGAGUUAUUUGAUUUCGUCGCUUAUUCACCCAACCUUCGGUCAUGUUUACCCCUUUCAUUAACAUUAUGAGAGAGCUCAUCAUUGAUUCUACUGAAAUCUCAGUAGCCUUCUUGUCAUUGGUGUAGGACAACAUCCCUAUAGUUCCUAGUAGCUGAUCUUUAUUUCCUCGGGCCCAUUCCACAACAAAAUUUGCUGAUGCUGUAAUCUGGUCUACAGGGAUCACGACAAAAUCUCCAAGGAGAAGGUUAUUCAAUAUCUAUUUACAUAAUAUCCUUAUUAAUUUAAUUGUUAUUAAAACAAUUCACAAUCGAUUUUUCGUAAUCCCUAUUUUUCGGGUCGUUACAUAGCUUCCCCUUUUAAGGAAGAAGAACCCACUCUGAUCGGGUGGUUCUUCCUUCUUGCUACCAAACUAAACGUUAACGAGAGAAACAUAAAAAGGGAUAUAAAUAAAUUUGAACUUGAUAUUUAGAUUCUGCUGAUUUACAAAUAUGCUGAAGCAAGAAAUGUUCACAUUUUGUAUUCUUUACAAUCAGAACUUGCUAUAAUUAAAAGAUUUGUUUGCUAUUGACUUACACCUAAUUGAAAAAAAAGAAGAAGAAGGAUUAAUUGUAGAUAUUGCAAUUAUUAUUCAUUCAAAAAUAAGUCAUUAAAUAUAUUGUUAGUUAGAACAAAAGUAAUAUAUAUUUGUUAGUAAACAUAAAAAUUUUUUGAGAUUAAAUAAUCCUUUACCUCUUGAGGUAGUGUUUCCUCAUCAUCUGUCCUCAUCUCAAGAGAUCUUGCAAGCAUUGAUUGGGUACUGUGUUUUAACAUAGUUGCAUUAGGGAUAUUAACUUUAUAAUUUUUCUAUGAUUCACCCCCUGCGAUUUGUUUGUACAAAAUGGCUGCUUGAGCAAUGCCAGGAAAUUUAUUAACAUUCCAAUUAGAAGGAAUUAUCCCUUCAUGAUAAACAAAUCUACUUGUAUCCAAAUUGUUAUCUUUCCAAAUCUGGAAAGAACGUCUGGCCCCGGAUCGACCAAGCAGUGACAGGACCUUGACGUGAUAGACCUUGAAGUCACCGUCAUCGGCACAUAUUACGAUGAUUCUAUACAUUUCGUAGCUCAUAAUUAAUACUCCCCCGUUUAACUUCCAUUUAUUCAAAACUUUUCUCCUCUUCUCUAAUGUUCGAAAUAAUUUCGCUGCGUUUGAAAUGAGAAUUCUUGCAGCGCCACCUAUGGAACACCACUUAAGGUAUUCCGUCUUCCAAGCUAGCAGAAUACGAGAGUGCGAUCUUCUUAAGUAAAUAUCGGAGAAAGCAAUUGUUUGCAGUUUCCUUCCAUUUGGUCCAACAGAAUGGGCUAAGAUGCAACCUAACCCAUUCCUAAUAUUCUCGCAGAGAACGUUUUACGUCCAUUACCUGUCUCCUGAGCAGCUAAGCGACAAUGUUUGGGGGAACAUCAAAUAAAGCGUGGAAUUGUUUCACACUCGGCAUUAUCUCGGAAGAACCUUGAAAAUUAACGAAAUAAUUGGGUAAUGGAAUCAUUAAUAGAAUAUAAAUAUUAUCAACUUUUUUGUAACUUCUUUAGUGAAAUAGCUGCGAUGGUAUUUUGUGCAAAAUAAUAACCAACUACUUGUUUAUAGUUUUUCUGUAUUCCUCUGAUCAUAGAAACCAGGGCAUGGUUUGCCAUUUUAUUACUACUGUCAAGUGUACCCAAAUCUUCGAAUCCUGAGAUCUUUUCCUCAUGAGCUUUAUAGUGUAAACCACUCUUCAACUGUACUUCAUCGAAGAUUAAGGUGACACUUUAAAUAUUUUAAAACGUUAUCAUUUAAACCGGUUUUAAAUGGAAUAUGGGACAACAUGGGUUUCAAAGUUCUUAUUGUAGGUGAAUCAAAAUGAACUUGUAAAUAACCAUACAAUUAUAUUGGUAGUAUUCAAAUGUAUAUUUGUUAAAUUAUUACUAUACUUUAAAAUGUUUAAAAUAUUUUAUUCCCAUGGUUUAAUAACUUUAUAACAUCUUUUACUCCUUUGAAAAUUAAGCUCAUACCUCCUAUCUCAGUAAUUUCUGCAUCCAUAAUCAUCUCCGCGGUACGUUUAAAAAUACGGACAAACCAUCCUCCAAAUCAACAACAACUGAUCGCCAUGUAGCUGAUGUAUUUACUUCGCAGACUUAAUCAUAUAUAAUUUAUUCACCUCUAAUUCUGAUAUGUUCUUCUUUGGGGAAAAUCGAUACUGCCCUAACUGACUUAAAUGUGAUAUACUAGCUUGAGUUGGUUUAUAACGUAAGCGAGCGAUGUGAUUGUGUUAGCGAACUUCAAUUAUUAAUUACGGUUUGAAAACAAUCAGGAUGGCGAUUACUGUCCAUUCCAAAAUUAGAUAUAGCAUCAGUGAUCACAGCGUGUGCAGCUGCUGAUAAAAUUGUGCCUAACUGAUGUACCUCCACUACACUGCAGUUAGAAUCAGCGAAUAAGGGAGAUUGGCCAAGUGCAGCCUUAACAGUAUUCAUAACAUCAUCUUUGGCUUUAUUAAGCCACGAAUCAUUAAGCAAGCUACCGUAAGAUCCUUUAUUACAAAAGUUAGUAAACCAUACGACGUAAGAUACCCUGUAAUUAUGUGUCCGUGCCUUAAACUAACUUAAAAGUGCAUUUCUUUAUCCUUGACCUCCCGGAUAAUUUUUAAAUGUCUCCGGGGAUCAGCCCACAAUAGAGGACAUCAACGCAUCAGGCGAUGGAUGAUGUCCUCUAAAUCCUCAGCCGUCGUUAUGAAUACGCAGGGCUGUAAUUUGAAAGGAUACUGUAUUAUUACAAUUAGGAAAGAAUAAUAAUAAAUAAAAUAUUACUUACAUUAUUAGAUGCCCACGAACAAAUUGUUGCUAUUAUUUCAAUAACGUCGAGCGGUAUUGGCAAUAGCGAUGCCAUUUUUAAAAAAAAAGUGCAUUUUUAUCCUCUUUAUAUAGUAUGGGAUACCGUUUAUGUAAACAGUUUUUUUAAUUAAUAUCGAUUGUAAGAAGAGUGGGAGUUUUCCGUAUAUAAUAGAAACGGAAGAUAUUAAACAAUAAAAUAAUAGAAAAAUAUAUAUUUAAUAAAUUAAAAUUACAAUAAAUUUACGUCUAUUUAUUGAGGGGUAACUAAAAAAAUAAUUUAAUUGUGAUAUGUGUAAUAUUCAGACCUAUAAAUAACUUAGAGGCGGCACUGAAAUAAUUUUCAUCAGCGACCUCCCUAAUAAUUUUAAGAUGGCCGCCUGGUAUCGGCCCUAAAUAGAGGAUAUCGCCCCCCUCAUGAAGAAUGAUCUCCUCUAACUCUUCACUUGUAACUAUGAAUACUGAGGGCUGUAAAUUGAAAGGAUACUACUUAUGUAUUAUUAUAAUUCGGGAAGAAUAAUGAUCAAUAAAAUAUCACUUACAUUAUCAGAAGCCAAAAAGCAUAUGGCCAUUAUAAGGUCUUUAACAAAUUGUGGAGUAGAUGACAUGAUUGGUAGUAUGAUAUACAACUGCAUUUUUUCCUCUUUAUAUACUAUGGGAUACUGUUUAUGUAAGCAUGCUUUUAAUUUUUAUUGAUUGCAAGACGUGUAGAAGUUUUCCUUAUGGUAAUAUAUGGGAUACGAUUUAUUUACAACAACAUAAACACAACCAUUUUAUUUACAAUAAAAUAUAUUUAUUUAUAACUAACACAGUACAACACAUGAUUUCGGGACUCAAUUCUGAUAAUUGUCUAUGAAAGUAGCCCCAAAAAGAAGAACUUCUGCAUCAUUCGUAUGGUCAUGGUACAUCAAAUAAUAAUUUAAAAAUUAAUUUGAAGUUAGUAAGUAUCGUAUAGGGGAAUUUGUCACGUUUUAGGCUCUUUUGUUUGUCAUAACUGGAGAACCACUAGUCCGAAUAAGCUGCAACGUUUCGCUACAUAAGCAACAGUUUCGCAGUUAUAAAUAAAUGUAUGAAGAAAAAAACAAUUUUUUAUAUUUAAUUCAUAAAAAAUCCAAAACGGUAAAAAGGAACAGUUUCGCAGUUAUAAAUAAAUGUAUUAAGAUUUUUAUAUGUUAUCUAUGCAUGGAAACAAAAUUUAGAACAUUUUCAAUUAGUGUCACUAUCCAUCCUCGUUGAAGUUGACGCUUGUGGUUCUGAUGACCUUAUUUUCUUAGUAGGUUGUUCAUAUUCAUGUUCUGAGUCUGCAUCAUCAUCUGAGUUACACAUAAUAUUCAAGGGCAUGUUUUGUUCAGUGUGUCCACAAAUUUCAGUGUCAUCUUCAUCUUCGGUGCGUUCAUCUUCAAACUGCACAAUUUUAGAACUCCACCAACAAACCUCCGCAAGCAAUGCAUCCAAUUUUUUGCCUUUGAAUCACUUUUCCAUUGGCAUGGUCACCUGGUGGAACCUCUCUCCUUGUUCGUCCGAUUCCUGAGGUAAUUGUGCCAAAAAGGUAUCAAGGUGGAAAUGCAGGAAAUGUAAUUCUGACGUCAUGGAUGCAUUGAUUUUUUCAAAAUAAUACAGCAAGUUGUCCACUCGUGUCUGUAUGUCAUCUUGCUGUACACGGUUCUUUCCUAAAACGCCUUCGAUGACUUGUUUCCUUGCGUCCCAUGCACAUAGGUGGUUAUAAUGGUUCGAAAGCAUAUUUGUGAAAGAUUCACUUUUCAUUAAUUUUCGUAUAUCCGGUCCAUUGAGAAUACCUGUUUGAAAUAUAAAAAAAAACAUUUAUCAAACAAUUAUUGGUAAUGCGAAUAUAUUGUAGUGAACAAAUUUAGAUAUGACAAUAUUAAAAUACUGACAACGAUAUGUACCUUUUCUAAUUUUAGCUUCACUCAGUUUUUUAAAGAUGGACUUCAAACAGUCAUAGGCGUCAUCAAUAUCUUUGACUACCACUUCGACGAAUUUCCCAGCUAUUCCUAAUUUCAUGUGGAGCGAGGGCAACAAUAUAUCAUGUAGAUCCUUUAUCAAAGGUUUAUUCCGUAAUUUUAAUUGUUUCUCGAGCUCGGGAGUUUUUGCUUUCCAAUCUUUACAUUGAUAUUGAUUUCCUUUGUAUCGUGAAUCCCAAUUACAAAGGAAGCAGAAGUAUUUUGGAAAACCGCCUUUUAAUACAAUGCCUUGUAUUAUAUGUUGACAACCUUUAGAUCGCAACAAAUCUUCCAUUUGUGUACAUUGUAGUUGAUUUUCUCCAAAAUUUCGCCCAAUGUUUCAUACGUUUCCUUCAUAGUUGUGUCAAUAAAAUAUCACUUACAUUAUCGGCGGCCAAUAAACAUAUGGACAUUAUUAACUUCAUAACAAAUUGUGGUGUAGAUUCUGACAUGAUCUAUUGAUGCUAUUGGUAAUAUGAUAUAAAACUGCCUUUUUCCCCCUCUUUAUAUACUAUGGGAUACUGUUUAUGUAAACAUGUUUUUAAUUUUUAUUGAUUGCAAGACGUGUAGAAGUUUUCCUUACGGUAAUAUAUGGGAUACGAUUUAUUUACAACAGCAUAAACACAACAAUUUUAUUUACAAAAUGAACCUUUAUUUACAACAACAUAAACACAACCAUUUUAUUUACAAAAUAACAACGUAAAAUUUAAACAAUAUUAUCUCUAGAAAUCCAACUGUUAUGCGAUGAAUCGAAUCCUAACCACUUAACGUACACUUUAUUCUUUUUCCUCUUCAACACUUUUUCAACAAGAUAUACAUCAGGUUGUUUGGAUUUUUGUAGUUCAAAUUCAUAAAAAGCUCCUUUAAUAGGCUGACCAUUCAUAUCCUCUAAUAAAUAAGAAAUUGGAUUCGUAAUUUGUCUUUUAACUAUUUUAAAUAACUCGGUGGUUCAGUUGGGUAGAUAUCCUUUAUCGAAAACGUGUUUAUGCUUGCUAAUGCGAACUACAUCCCUAACUUUAAAGUUUCCUUUAGCUGCAAUUUUAAUAUGAUUGUACACCGUAUUGAGAAGUUUACUUUCUACAGAUUUCGAAUUUAUUUGAGAUGGUCGAAUGCUUUGAAUUGUUAUAUGGAGUUGUAAAAGUAUCCAAUAAGUGUAACCAUUUAUGAUUUCCGUAAAGACUAAACAUUUUAUACAAAUUUUGUUUUAUGGUUCUAUUACGCGUUCAGCUAUUGAAGCCCUCAUUACACUAUAGGUUGAAUAAUGAUUAAUUUUAAAUUCCAUCAUCAACUUUUUAAAGUGAGUAUUGUAAAAUUCUUUUCCUUGAUCUGUUUGUAGAUUUUUAGGUGGAUGACGUUCAGAGAGAAUUGAACGUAACGCGUGUAUUACAUCCGUUGAAAAUUUAUGUUUUAACGGACGCAUCCAGAGAGAUUUUGUUAGUUUAUUAUAGUUUCGCUUUCGAUACUUGUAUUCUUAUGCUUAUGGAUUAGGUCCAAUAAUAUUGGAUUUUUCUCCAAUACAUCUAGUCGGCAAUUUAUUAAGCUCAUUUCCUGAAAGGUGAUUUUCACCCGUAAUCUGGGUGCUAUAUCUAGAAGAGCUAGUCUGAGGAGCCUGUGAAAAAUUUCCUUGCUUCGAAGUAGAAUUAUUUCCAUAAUUGCUUUGGAAACCACAAUUAAAAGAGCUUCUAUUGUGCUCACCUUGACUUUGAAAAUCUUGCGCUGACUAUUAUUACGAAAGUUAUUGGACUCAUUUGUAAAACUGUUCCGGCGUUCUUUUUCACGAAAUCUGCAAUUCUUGGCAAUGUGAUUGUGUAAUCCGCAUGUGUAACAUGACGUACGGUUUUGCAAUGAAAACCAUUUACAAAUGAAUUUUUCCCAAACAUAAAACCGCUUAAUUCUUGUUGUUUUGCGAGUGCUUUGGUUAUUUGUAGCGUUAAAUUUGGAUUUCUCUUGAAUAAGGGUUCUAGAGUUUUUAUCAACUAUUUUCUAAGUCCUAAUCUAAACUGAUUUGAUUUAACACAAGGUCUUUACAAUUUUGUUUUCAAACCUGAAUAGUGUCUAAGUCCAACUGAAGGUUUCCAAUUUUUUUCUCUUUAGCAACAAUUUCACCCUCUUCUACAUCUUCGUUACUUUGUUGUUGUAGUUGUUGUUGACUUUCAAUUUGGGGAAAUUGGUCAUCCCCAUCGACACUUAAAUCAAAUACAUACUUAUACAUCACGGAUGCCAACAUCUGUACCUCCGUUUCCUUUUCAACCUCCAGCCUCGUAUAUUGGACUGGAAGGUUUCCAAACUCUCUCUUCGGUGUAUCAUUUUUUGGGGUAUACAAUAGUGUAAUUAUCACACAAUUCCCCUUCGUUGUUACACUUUUUAAACCAUACCUAAUUCAGAAUUAUUAAUAAAGGAAAAAAAA